AUUUAAGAAAAUCCCUUGGCAAGUCUAUGCAAAAAGAAUGAAUAUCAGGAUCCUGAGAACUAUGAAGAUGCUGACUGGGGAGGGUCCAUAGUGAAUAGAAAAUCAAUAGCAGGACAUUGCACGAGUUUCCCAGUUUGAAAGCAAUUCAAUUUGUAAAAUGCAAAAAAUGACCAUAUUAAGCAGUGUACCUUCAUCUUUCUCUCCCACCAGUCGUCGGAAGCAGCAAUAUAUCCCGUUUUGGAGAUGUACUCCACUCCAGUACUGUGAAUAAGCUCCAUCAGAC
rnacentral:lncRNA from 1 species